rnacentral:rRNA from 1 species
UGAGGAAUAUUGGUCAAUGGGCGCAAGCCUGAACCAGCCAUCCCGCGUGCAGGAAGACGGCCCUAUGGGUUGUAAACUGCUUUUCCAGGGGGAGAAUUUUUCUGUCGUGACAGGAAUUGACGGUACCCUGGGAAUAAGCAUCGGCUAACUCCGUGCCAGCAGCCGCGGUAAUACGAAGGAUGCGAGCGUUAUCCGGAUUUAUUGGGUUUAAAGGGUGCGUAGGCGGAUUGAUAAGUCAGUGGUGAAAACCUGCAGCUUAACUGUAGACUUGCCGUUGAUACUGUCAGUCUUGAGUAUGGUCAAGGUAGGCGGAAUGUGUAAUGUAGCGGUGAAAUGCUUAGAUAUUACACAGAACACCGAUUGCGAAGGCAGCUUACUGGGCCAUUACUAACGCUGAUGCACGAAAGCGUGGGGAUCGAACAG